GCAAUGAUACGUAGCCGAGUUGAGAGACUGAUCGGCCACAUUGGGACUGAGACACGGCCCAGACUCCUACGGGAGGCAGCAGUAGGGAAUCUUCCACAAUGGACGCAAGUCUGAUGGAGCAACGCCGCGUGAGCGAAGAAGGUCUUCGGAUCGUAAAACUCUGUUGUUAGAGAAGAACACGGGUGAGAGUAACUGUUCACCUGUUGACGGUAUCUAACCAGCAAGUCACGGCUAACUACGUGCCAGCAGCCGCGGUAAUACGUAGGUGGCAAGCGUUAUCCGGAUUUAUUGGGCGUAAAGGGAACGCAGGCGGUUCUUUAAGUCUGAUGUGAAAGCCUUCGGCUUAACCGAAGAUGUGCAUUGGAAACUGGGGAACUUGAGUGCAGAAGAGGAGAGUGGAACUCCAUGUGUAGCGGUGAAAUGCGUAGAUAUAUGGAAGAACACCAGUGGCGAAAGCGGCUCUCUGGUCUGUAACUGACGCUGAGGUUCGAAAGCGUGGGUAGCGAACAGGAUUAGAUACCCUGGUAGUCCACGCCGUAAACGAUGAAUGCUAGGUGUUGGAGGGUUUCCGCCCUUCAGUGCCGCAGCUAACGCACUAAGCAUUCCGCCUGGGGAGUACGACCGCAAGGUUGAAACUCAAAGGAAUUGACGGGGGCCCGCACAAGCGGUGGAGCAUGUGGUUUAAUUCGAAGCUACGCGAAGAACCUUACCAGGUCUUGACAUCUUUUGACCACCUAAGAGAUUAGGUUUUCCCUUCGGGGACAAAAUGACAGGUGGUGCAUGGUUGUCGUCAGCUCGUGUCGUGAGAUGUUGGGUUAAGUCCCGCAACGAGCGCAACCCUUGUUGUCAGUUGCCAGCAUUCAGUUGGGCACUCUGGCGAGACUGCCGGUGACAAACCGGAGGAAGGUGGGGAUGACGUCAAAUCAUCAUGCCCCUUAUGACCUGGGCUACACACGUGCUACAAUGGGCAGUACAACGAGUCGCGAAACCGCGAGGUUUAGCAAAUCUCUUAAAGCUGCUCUCAGUUCGGACUGUAGGCUGCAACUCGCCUACACGAAGUCGGAAUCGCUAGUAAUCGCGAAUCAGCAUGUCGCGGUGAAUACGUUCCCGGGCCUUGUACACACCGCCCGUCACACCAUGAGAGUUUGUAACACCCAAAGCCGGUGGGGUAACCUUUUGGAGCCAGCCGUCUAAGGUGGGACAGAUGAUUGGGGUGAAGUCGUAACAAGGUAGCCGUAGGAGAACCUGCGGCUG
rnacentral:rRNA from 1 species